AGAAAUGUAAUUAGGCUGAUCAUUUGCCCAUGCAUGGUAAAGUUUACUAUGAAUGAAACACUGCAGUGAGUUUUCAUCGAGCUUCUGUAUAGCAGCCCUUUUCUCUCUCCUACUCUAACAAGUGUAAUCCUGCAACACAAAAUUGUGCAAUUCAUGAGUAAUUCAUUGCUCAGUUUCUUAUUCAUCUACGUUUUGCGUAAGGGUCUCGUGGAAAUUAGCCAUCUUCUGAGUCCUUUCACAGCAGAGAGAAAGCGAGUGAGUCACACCCUGGAACGUAAGGGUUCUUACACUGUAAGAUGAUGUGCUAAGAACUGAAGACCGCACAAUUUGGGGGGAUGAAGGCAGAGAUGUGAUUGAAAAAGCAUACUAAUAUAAUGUACAUGUGUGAGAAAGAGCUAAUACUGAAGUGAACAAGUGCAACAGAACUAAGGUAAAUAAUGACAAAACUUAUUAUUCUAUUUCUUUGUUGCCUUCAUAUUCUAAGCCUUCCCAACCCACUUCAAAUAAUAAUGUUUCAGCUCUCUACUUCACAGUUUGAGCUUCCACUUAAAUUUUGUUAUUGCAGCUAUCCUGGGUCAUGUAUGCUUAUUUUUGUUUUUCAAAAAAUGCAGGCUCAUCUUUCAGUUAAUUAAACAUUAGUUCUUUAUGUGGAAGAGGAGUUGUUUUAAUGGAUCACAACUCAUACACUACUAAUACUCACAGCAGAGAUGAAUUACAGUUACUUCACAAUAAUAUGACAUGUAAAUAAUGUACUGUUGGGAAGGUACAUCACAAAUUUUACUUUAUUGAAAUUUUCUAAGUAUUACUGACAGGGCCUAAUAUUCUAGUAGUUCUUCACACAUUUAUCAAAUAAAAAAAACACUCUUGAAUAAAUAUCAAAAAUGUUGUACGAAGGGUGAUCGGAUAGAAGUAAUUAUUCAUGAUUUUGCAUAAACAAGCUAACGAACACUGGAGCCAUUUUUAAUAUUGCAACAGAACACCUACUUUGAAGGAGUAAAUCUCUUCUAAACGCUCAUUACUCAUUUUAAAUGAAAGAUAAUUUUAUUGUCCUGUGUUACACAGAAAUAGUACUGAUGGUCAUAGCCAUUUCAAAGAAAUGGCUUGUUUGUAAAGCUUUUAUUUACACUGUAGAAAGAAGGA